AGAUACGGAGUGUGUGUGUGUGUGUGUGUGUGUGUGUGUGUGUGUGUGUGUGUAUUUCUCAUAAGGAAUUGGCUCACACAAUUAUGGAAGCUUCAAGAUCUGCAGGGGCUUCCUUCUCUUGAGGAUAACUUCCAGACGUGACGUCAAUUCACGUCACAUGACAAGGACUGCUAUGGGAGCCUGAGCUGAUUUGGCUCAGAAUCAGCUCAGAAACAUCCUCGCCACCGUGAUAUAAAUUUCUUGAGGCAAAAUAAUUGGUCUUCGGAACUUGUUCAACUUUUUUUUUUUUUUUCUGAAAAAAAAAGAAAGAGAAAGAAGGAAUGAAGGAGAGGAAGAAAGAGGAAGAGAAAGAGGGAAGAACUUGUUCGUCUUAUAAUUGAAAGUUUAUACUGUGGUUUAAGCAGAGUGGCCACCAUCUUCUUAUUUUUCCCACUUAUUUUGCAGCUCCAGAGAAAGCCAAUGCUGGGAAUGAUAACUGUUCUGUCAUCUUGGAUCAGCUCCACAACCCACCUGCAAUGAUAAUGCAAUGGAGCAAGAACCAAACUUUUGCUACUUUAAGCUAUUCAGGAUCACCAAUGUCACCCUCAUGCCACGAAAAAUGAAAAGCCCAGAGAAGGUGGCUUUUCCCCCCAUCUCAGCCCUGCUGUCUUCUGGCCAUCGUGGGGAUGGAGUCUUUGACAGUUGCAGUCCCACCUUCUGUUUAAUGGGCUUACGGUCAACACCCUGUCAACAGUCUAUCAACACCAUUGAUCUUCAUGUUCCAGGAAAUGCCGUGCUGUUGGGAAGAAGAGGCGCUUGGCUUCAGUUCUGCAUAAAAAGGGCUGAUUAAAUCAAAGGGAUGUUGGGCUUUUCACUGUGUCGGGGUUGAUCAACACUGACAGAAUGAUGGAGGAGGUGGGGCUGGGGCUCUGUGAAGUUGAAAACUCUUUCAGGGAAACCAGGCCACUUCUUAACUCCCCAAACGCUUCAUGAGGAGCUAGAAGUUUCCAAGAUAUGACUGCUCUGUGAAAGGCAUGAAUCUGAUUAACACUAAAAAAGGCAAGAAAAAAGGAGGUGGAAAUGCGCAUGGUUUCAUGGCAAGUAGAAUGUAUUUAUAGCUACACUGGGGGAACGUGAUCGGAGAUGACAUUGUCAUAGCGCCAUAUUUGCUGUUUUCACGUAACAGUUUGGGGGAACGGAAAAGAAACAAUGGAAUUUGGGAGAGGCAUGGGGCUGGUGGUAACAUGAAAUCUAAUAGGCUUGAGUCGCCUUCUUUCACUUGGUAUCGGUGAAAGUGUGAAUAAAACGUAA